CCAAUAGCGUAUAUUAAAGUUGUUGCAGUUAAAAGGCUCGUAGUUGAAUUUCGGGAUUGGCGCAUCGGUCGUGCCUUACGGGGUAUGAACUGGUGCAGUCAAUUUCUCACCUUCUGGAGAACCGCGAUGUCCUUAAUUGGGUGCCGCGGGGAACCAGGACCUUUACUUUGAAAAAAUUAGAGUGUUUAAAGCAGGCAUUUUUGCUUGAAUACAUUAGCAUGGAAUAAUAAAAUAGGACGGCAUGGUUCUAUUUUGUUGGUUUCUAGGACCACCGUAAUGAUUAAUAGGGAUAGUUGGGGGCAUUAGUAUUCAAUUGUCAGAGGUGAAAUUCUUGGAUUUAUUGAAGACUAACUACUGCGAAAGCAUUUGCCAAGGAUGUUUUCAUUAAUCAAGAACGAAAGUUAGGGGAUCGAAGACGAUCAGAUACCGUCGUAGUCUUAACCAUAAACUAUGCCGACUAGGAAUCAGACGAUGUUAAUUUUUUAAUGACUCGUUUGGCACCUUACG
rnacentral:rRNA from 1 species